GACCAAUUGAAGAUUUUUUUGUUCAAGGAGUAAAUGCGGCGCUCCUUGUAAUUUCGAAUAAUGAAUUAGGUGGCGCUACACGUACAGUAGUGCAAUGUUCUUUCAAACAAUUUUACUUAUAAGCAAAACCACAUUUGUCAUUAGAUCAAAGAUCUGAACCGUAGAGUUAAUCAAAAACUCCCAGAAUAUUCGGAGCAGCAUGAUAAUAUCUCUCGAUUUGCAUCGAGAUUAUCGGGGUUAGGCCCUUUCUGCACAACAUCACGCGUUUGGUAUUUGUGCUGCACUAGAUCAAUGACACCGAUAAUUAUUCAAGAUACGACACUUGUGUGGUUUCAUUUUACUAUGAGUUAACUCGUGUCGAUUUAAACUCGACUUUCUAGUAAACGAUUUACUGCAUAUGGUACAACCAUAUGGUUUAAUACCAGCAUGAAACUUCAUGUGAACAGUCAGAUGUGAUUUUUGUCUGAAAAACUUUUGACAAACACCGCAUUCAUAGGAUUUCUGUCCAGUAUGAAUUAAGGAGUGUACAGUCAAUGCGGAUUUCUGGUGUUACUUUUUGAAACAUCUCUAUCGCAGUGAGUUGGAGGAUCCUGCCACGAUUUCAUUAAAGAAUCCCACGAAAAAAUGCUGCUCGAUCUACCAUUUCUGCAAUUGAAAUUGUUCUCCGACGAUGUUUCAUUAUCUGCAAAAUCAUCCUUUGUUCCAAAUCCAGUCUGAAACAACGAGCAAAAUGUCAAAACUAUGUAAUGUAAUUAUUUGAAUACAAAGUAAUGUAGAACAUAUGGUGUUGUUACAAAAUAAGUUGUUACUUCAUGGCAAAACAAUUUCCUUCUGCCUUUA
rnacentral:misc_RNA from 1 species